CUUCCUUCGUCACAUCCUCUUUCCGUUGCUCCUCUCGCCUUGAGAAACUUCUCCUCACGAUGAGAGCUAAGUGGAGGAAGAAGCGUAUGCGCAGGCUGAAGCGUAAAAGGAGGAAGAUGAGGCAGAGGUCUAAGUAGGCCCUCAUCCAUGCCAGCUGUGGUCCCGUCGGAGCCUCUCCAGUUGACUGACCCAUGUGGCUGAAGUGAAGCCUCCAUCGGUGGAACGGAGGCCUGAACCCUGAUCUCAGAUGACUGCGCACCUCAUGGAGACUGCUGUGAAAGUCUGACUGGAAAAGGAGACGAUGCUGGACUAUCAACAUCGGAACUACAGCUGCUUUGUUCGCGGCUAAAAAUACAUGUUUACCAACAACUGUCAUUCUGUGACGUAUUGAACAAUAAACGAACACUGUUUAAAAUUUA